rnacentral:tRNA from 1 species
GGAGAGAUAGCUCAAUGGUAGAGCAGUUGGCUGUUAACCAAUUGGUUAGAAGUUCGAAUCUUCUUCUUUCCG